UACGGGGGGGGCAAGCGUUGUUCGGAAUUACUGGGCGUAAAGGGCUCGUAGGUGGCCAACUAAGUCAGACGUGAAAUCCCUCGGCUUAACCGGGGAACUGCGUCUGAUACUGGAUGGCUUGAGUUUGGGAGAGGGACGCGGAAUUCCAGGUGUAGCGGUGAAAUGCGUUGAUAUCAGAAGGAACGCCGGUGGCGAAAGCGACGUGCUGGACCUCUUCUGACGCUGAGGCGCGAAAGCCAGGGGAGCGAACAGG
rnacentral:rRNA from 1 species